rnacentral:misc_RNA from 1 species
CCGAGUUCAUGCCCUAACGGGUAGAUCUCCCACCCUAUGUUAUUAUUACCUUUGUUGCUUUGGCGGGCCGUCAGACUUCAGUUAGGCUACCGGCUUCGGCUAGUAAGCGCCCGCCAGAGGACCCCAAACUCUGAAUAUUAGUGUCGUCUGAGUACUAUAUAAUAGUUA